AUGGCUCAGGAUGAACGCUGGCGGCGUGCUUAAUACAUGCAAGUCGAACGAAGCACCUGCGACGGAUCCCUUCGGGGUGAAGAUGCUUGUGACUGAGUGGCGGACGGGUGAGUAACGCGUGGGUAACCUGCCUUAUGCAGGGGGACAACAGUUAGAAAUGACUGCUAAUACCGCAUAAGCGCACGAGACCGCAUGGUCAAGUGUGAAAAGAUUUAUCGGCAUAAGAUGGACCCGCGUCUGAUUAGGUAGUUGGUGAGGUAACGGCCCACCAAGCCGACGAUCAGUAGCCGACUUGAGAGAGUGAUCGGCCACAUUGGGACUGAGACACGGCCCAGACUCCUACGGGAGGCAGCAGUAGGGAAUAUUGCACAAUGGGGGAAACCCUGAUGCAAGCGACGCCGCGUGAGUGAUUGAAGUAUUUCGGUACGUAAAGCUCUAUCAGCAGGGAAGAUAAUGACGGUACCUGACUAAGAAGCCCCGGCUAACUACGUGCCAGCCGCGGC
rnacentral:rRNA from 1 species